AACAAACUUCGGGCUCGGCAUGCACAG
rnacentral:piRNA from 1 species